rnacentral:rRNA from 1 species
UACGUAGGGGGCAAGCGUUGUCCGGAAUCAUUGGGCGUAAAGCGCGUGUAGGCGGCCCUGAAAGUCUGGUGUGAAAACUUGAGGCUCAACCUCAAGCUGUCACUGGAUACUGCAGGGCUUGAGUCCGGAAGAGGAGAGUGGAAUUCCUGGUGUAGCGGUGGAAUGCGCAGAUAUUAGGAGGAACACCUAUGGCGAAGGCAGCUCUCUGGUACGUGACUGACGCUGAGACGCGAAAGCGUGGGGAGCGAACAGG